GUGCGAGACCGAUAGCGAACAAGUACCGUGAGGAAAAGAUGAAAAGAACUUUGAAAAGAGAGUUAAAGAGUACCUGAAACUGCUGAAGGGAAGCGAAUCGUAUCCAGUGUCUAUAAUCUGCGGCAUAUUUCAUUGGCGGCGGUGCGCGUGCUUUUGCGUCGGAAGCGGCUUUUGUUGCUCUGUGCUUUUGCUGUGCGUGGUGUUGCUGGUGCCCUGUGUUGCGGUGGGACGUCAGAGUCAGUUUGUAUGCUGCGGGAAAUGGCUGCCGAGGAGGUAGGUCGAGAUUUCGGUCUUGGCUGUUAUAUCUUGGUGGUUCGUUGUCGUGGUUGAGACUGAGGUGCCUACAAUGUGCUUUUGAGUGCGCCGGGUUCUCAUUUGGUGGACUGUUUGGAUAGCUUGCUAUGCUUGUGGUUUUUUCAUCGGGUGAUUGAGUCUGGUGGUAACUUGUUGCUGUUCGGGACUUUGA
rnacentral:rRNA from 2 species